UACAGAGGGGGCAAGCGUUGUUCGGAAUUACUGGGCGUAAAGGGCGCGUAGGCGGCCUUCUAAGUCGAACGUGAAAUCCCUGGGCUCAACCCAGGAACUGCGUCCGAUACUGGAUGGCUUGAAUCCGGGAGAGGGAUGCAGAAUUCCAGGUGUAGCGGUGAAAUGCGUAGAUAUCUGGAGGAAUACCGGUGGCGAAGGCGGCAUCCUGGACCGGCAUUGACGCUGAUGAGCGAAAGCUAGGGGAGCAAACGGG
rnacentral:rRNA from 1 species